rnacentral:rRNA from 1 species
UCGAGAAUCAUUCGCAAUGGGCGAAAGCCUGACGGUGCGACGUCGCGUGGAGGAUGAAGGUCUUCGGAUUGUAAACUCCUGUCAUGUGGGAUAAAUGGCCAGGGCACGAAUAGUGCCUUGGAAUGAUAGUACCACAGGAGGAAGAGACGGCUAACUCUGUGCCAGCAGCCGCGGUAAUACAGAGGUCUCGAGCGUUGUUCGGAUUUACUGGGCGUAAAGGGAGCGUAGGCGGUUUGGUGUGUUGAAUGUGAAAUCCCACAACUCAACUGUGGAAAGGCAUUCAAAACUACCAGACUAGAGUACUGGAGAGGAGAGCGGAAUUCUUGGUGUAGCGGUGAAAUGCGUAGAUAUCAAGAGGAACACCGGUGGCGAAGGCGGCUCUCUGGACAGAUACUGACGC